AGCAGUUAUCUGAACCUUCGGGGAACGAUAACGGCGUCGAGCGGCGGACGGGUGAGUAAUGCCUAGGAAAUUGCCCUGAUGUGGGGGAUAACCAUUGGAAACGAUGGCUAAUACCGCAUAAUGCCUACGGGCCAAAGAGGGGGACCUUCGGGCCUCUCGCGUCAGGAUAUGCCUAGGUGGGAUUAGCUAGUUGGUGAGGUAAUGGCUCACCAAGGCGACGAUCCCUAGCUGGUCUGAGAGGAUGAUCAGCCACACUGGAACUGAGACACGGUCCAGACUCCUACGGGAGGCAGCAGUGGGGAAUAUUGCACAAUGGGCGCAAGCCUGAUGCAGCCAUGCCGCGUGUGUGAAGAAGGCCUUCGGGUUGUAAAGCACUUUCAGUCGUGAGGAAGGUAGUGUA
rnacentral:rRNA from 1 species